rnacentral:rRNA from 1 species
UACAGAGGGUGCUAGCGUUGUUCGGAAUCAUUGGGCGUAAAGGGCGUGUAGGCGGUUUGUUAAGUCAUGUGUGAAAUCCCGGGGCUCAACCUCGGAACUGCCUUUGAUACAGCAUAUCUUGAGUCCGAUAGAGGUGGGUGGAAUUCCUAGUGUAGAGGUGAAAUUCGUAGAUAUUAGGAAGAACACCGGUGGCGAAGGCGGCCCACUGGAUCGGUACUGACGCUGAGGUGCGAAAGCGUGGGGAGCAAACAGG